UUUAAACCCAGGUCAGUCACACUCAGAGUAGUUUGUUAAUAACUAGUAUUUAAACCCAGGUCGGUCACACUCAGAGUAGUUUGUUAAUAAUAACUAGUAUUUAAACCCAGGUCGGUCACACUCAGAGUAGUUUGUUAAUAGUAACUAGUAUUUAAACCCAGGUCGGUCACACUCAGAGUAGUUUGUUAAUAGUAACUAGUAUUUAAACCCAGGUCGGUCACACUCAGAGUAGUUUGUUAAUAGUAACUAGUAUUUAAACCCAGGUCGGUCACACUCAGAGUAGUUUGUUAAUAACUAGUAUUUAAACCCAGGUCGGUCACACUCAGAGUAGUUUGUUAAUAACUAGUAUUUAUACCCAGGUUGGUCACACUCAGAGUAGUUUGUUAAUAACUAGUAUUUAUACCCAGGUUGGUCACACUCAGAGUAGUUUGUUAAUAACUAGUAUUUAUACCCAGGUCGGUCACACUCAGAGUAGUUUGUUAAUAAUAACUAGUAUUUAAACCCAGG
ensembl:lncRNA